AUGUAUUUUGAACUGCUGGAGGCCUCUCGCAUUUGUCCCCUGAACUGCUCUUCCACGUGCUUGGCAGCCUGUCAGAGGGAAGUCUCUGUCUCCCCCCCAUCUCUGUGUCUCCCCCUCUUCUCUCUCUUCUCUCUCUCUCCCUCUCUGUCUCUCUGUCUCCCCCCCAUCUCUCUGUCUCUCUCUCUCUCUCUCUCUCUCUGUCUCUCUCUCUCCUCUCUCUUUCUCUCUCCCUCUCUCUCUCUGUCUCUCCCUCCCUCUCCCUCUCCAUCUCUCUCUCUCUCCUCUCUGUCUUUCUCUCUCUCUCUCUGUCUCUACCUCUCUCUCUCUGUAUCUCUCUCUGUCUCUCUCUCUGUCUCUGUCUUUCUCUCUCUUCAUCUCUCUCUGUCUCUCUGUCUCUGUCUCUCUCUGUCUUUCUCUCUCUCUGUCUCUCUUCCUCUCUCUUUCUCUCUCCCUCUCUCCCUCUCUCUCCCUCCCCCUCUCUCUCUGUCUCUCUCUCUGUCUCUCUCUCUCUCUUCUCUCUCUCUCCUCUCUCUUUCUCUCUCCCUCUCUCCCUCUCCCUGUCUCUCUCUCCUCUUUCCCUUUCUUUCUCUCUCUGUCUCUCUCUCUUUCUCUCUUCUGUCUCCAUCUCCCUCUCCCUCAGCCUGUCUCUCUCUCCUUCUCUUUCCCUUUCUUUCUCUCUCUUCUGUCUCCAUCUCUCUCUCCCUCAGCCUGUCUCUCUCUCCUUCUCUUUCCCUUUCUUUCUCUCUCUUCUGUCUCCAUCUCUCUCUCCCUCUCCCUCAGCCUGUCUCUUUCUCUCUCUUCUAUCUCCAUCUCUCUCUCCCUCAGCCUGAUCUCUUUCUCUCUCUUCUAUCUCCAUCUCUCUCUCCCUCAGCCUGUCUCUCUCUCCUCUUUCCCUUUCUUUCUCUCUCUGUCUCUCUCUCUCUUUCUCUCUCUUCUGUCUCCAUCUCUCUCUCCCUCAGCCUGUCUCUCUCUCCUCUUUCCCUUUCUUUCUCUCUCUGUCUCUCUCUCUCUUUCUCUCUCUUCUGUCUCCAUCUCUCUCUCCCUCAGCCUGUCUCUCUCUCCUCUUUCCCUUUCUUUCUCUCUCUCUUUCUCUCUUCUGUCUCCAUCUCUCUCUCCCUCUCCCUCAGCCUGUCUCUUUCUCUCUCUUCUAUCUCCAUCUCUCUCUCCCUCAGCCUGUCUCUUUCUCUCUCUUCUAUCUCCAUCUCUCUCUCCCUCAGCCUGUCUCUCUCUCCUCUUUCCCUUUCUUUCUCUCUCUGUCUCUCUCUCUCUUUCUCUCUCUUCUGUCUCCAUCUCUCUCUCCCUCAGCCUGUCUCUCUCUCCUCUUUCCCUUUCUUUCUCUCUCUGUCUCUCUCUCUCUUUCUCUCUCUUCUGUCUCCAUCUCUCUCUCCCUCAGCCUCUCUGUCUCUCCUUCCUCUUUCCUGUCUCUGUCCUUCCUCUUCUGUCUCUCUUCCAUUUCUCUCUGUCUCUCCUUCCUCUUUCCUCUGUCUCUGUCCUUCCUCUUCUGUCUCUCUUCCAUUUCUCUCCCUGUGUCUCCCCCUCCUCUUUCCUGUCUGUCCUCCCUCUUCUGUCUCUCUUCCAUUUCUCUCCCUGUGUCUCU
rnacentral:lncRNA from 1 species